rnacentral:rRNA from 1 species
GUGAGGAAUAUUGGUCAAUGGGCGCAAGCCUGAACCAGCCAUGCCGCGUGCAGGAAGACGGUCCUAUGGAUUGUAAACUGCUUUUAUUUGGGAAUAAACUCCGGUACGUGUACCGGCCUGAAGGUACCAAAUGAAUAAGCACCGGCUAACUCCGUGCCAGCAGCCGCGGUAAUACGGAGGGUGCAAGCGUUAUCCGGAAUCAUUGGGUUUAAAGGGUCCGCAGGCGGUCUUAUAAGUCAGUGGUGAAAGCCUACAGCUCAACUGUAGAACUGCCAUUGAUAAUGUAGGACUUGAAUUCGAUCGAAGUGGGCGGAAUGUGACAUGUAGCGGUGAAAUGCUUAGAUAUGUCACAGAACACCGAUAGCGAAGGCAGCUCACUAGGUCUGGAUUGACGCUCAGGGACGAAAGCGUGGGGAGCAAACAGGAUUAGAAACCCGGGUAGUCC